UACGUAGGGGGCAAGCGUUGUUCGGAAUUACUGGGCGUAGAGCGCGCGUAGGCGGUUUGAAAAGUCAGAUGUGAAAGCCCCGGGCUCAACUUGGGAACUGCAUUUGAUACUGUCAGACUAGAGUACAGAAGAGGUGACUGGAAUUCCCAGUGUAGCGGUGAAAUGCGUAGAUAUUGGGAGGAACACCAGAUGCGAAGGCGGGUCACUGGGCUGAUACUGACGCUGAAGUGCGAAAGCCAGGGGAGCGAACGGG
rnacentral:rRNA from 1 species